rnacentral:rRNA from 1 species
AUUGAACGCUGGCGGCAGGCUCAACACAUGCAAGUCGAGCGGGGUGAUGGUGCUUGCACUAUCACUUAGCGGCGGACGGGUGAGUAAUGCUUAGGAAUCUGCCUAUUAGUGGGGGACAACAUCUCGAAAGGGAUGCUAAUACCGCAUACGUCCUACGGGAGAAAGCAGGGGAUCACUUGUGACCUUGCGCUAAUAGAUGAGACUAAGUCGGAUUAGCUAGUUGGUGGGGUAAAGGCCUACCAAGGCGACGAUCUGUAGCGGGUCUGAGAGGAUGAUCCGCCACACUGGGACUGAGACACGGCCCAGACUCCUACGGGAGGCAGCAGUGGGGAAUAUUGGACAAUGGGGGGAACCCUGAUCCAGCCAUGCCGCGUGUGUGAAGAAGGCCUUAUGGUUGUAAAGCACUUUAAGCGAGGAGGAGGCUCUUUUGGUUAAUACCCAAGAUGAGUGGACGUUACUCGCAGAAUAAGCACCGGCUAACUCUGUGCCAGCAGCCGCAGUAA